rnacentral:lncRNA from 10 species
GAAAGGAGGAAGUAACCUGUGGUAUGCUGAGAAAGCCUGGUGAAAUUGUACUCAGCCUUCACACCUCAGGUUAGAUGUCAUUUCCUAUGAGAAGCCCGCCUCGUUCAGGACGUCCAUGAUCUCUCACAGCCUUCUGUGUUCCCUCCUCAACACGGUGUUUUAUAGCUUUUUAAAAAAUUCUGUGAUCAUAUUAUGCUCAGCAAACAGAGAGAGACUAUUCUUGUUCCCUGUGCCUAGGAUGUGCUUGAUGUAUGGUGAUCUUCAUUCCCAUGGCUUCAAUGACUGACUAUCCAUGGGCUUAUGUUUUCAGUCUGACUCUCUCCUGGACUCCUGAACUGCAAACCUAGCUCUCUUCUGGAUCCCCCAAGCUCUUGUUACUCAAUCAAAUUUACUACUUUCCCAUGAAACUGCUUCUUCCCUCAUUCCAUCUGUAUGAAUGGCACUACGGAGACUCAGCUUCCUAAGCCAGAGACCCUAAAGCCACACACCCCCCCACCACCCACUCCCU